rnacentral:rRNA from 1 species
GAUGAACGCUGGCGGCGUGCUUAACACAUGCAAGUCGAGCGAACAGAACAGGAGCUUGUUCCUCUGACGUCAGCGGCGGACGUGAGAGGAACACGUGUGUAACCUACCUAGAAGAAAGAGAUGACUACGGGAAAUCGUAGCCCAUAGCGGGUGAUAUAAUGAACCGCAUGGGUCAGUAGAGAGAGUCGGGUUUGCUUUCACUGAUAGAGGGAUACGAGCCUCAUUAGGUAGUGGUUAAGGGAACGUCUUACCAAGGCAACGAUGAGUAGCCGACCUGAGAGAGUGUUAGUCGCCGCUGGGACUGGAACACGGUCCAGACUCCUACGGGAGGCAGCAGUAGGGUAUCUUCGGCAGUGGGCGAAAGCCUGACGGAGCAACGCGGCGUGGGUGAUGAGGGUCUUCGGGUCGUAAAGCUGUAUUAUUAGGGAACAUCAACUGUGUAAGUAGCUGAACACGUCUUGACGGUACCUGGUCAGUAAGCAACGGCUAACUACGUG